rnacentral:rRNA from 1 species
UGAGGAAUAUUGGUCAAUGGUCGGGAGGACUGAACCAGCCAAGCCGCGUGAGGGAUGAAGGUCUUCGGAUCGUAAAGCUCUGUUGCAGGUCAGAAAAGAAGGGAAGAGGAAAUGCUUUUCUUUUGAUAGUAACCUGCCAGAAAGUCACGGCUAACUACGUGCC